AGCGGAGCGGGUCAAGGCCGAGCUGUGGGAUUUCUAUAGAUGCCAGGUGGGAUUCGAGGCCAAGACGAAGGCCGUCUGUGAUGUAGCCGCCAAGAAGCUCGUGAAGGACAUGCAUUACGAGGCGCGCAUCCAGGUCAUCAUCGAAUUCCACGCUCAAUACAGACGGAGGAAGAUUAGAAAAGAGGAGGCAAGAACAAUGAACCUGACUAAGGACCAAUUCAUGAGGGUGCCUCCGUGGUGGUGUCGUGCGCAUAUCCAGUGCUGGGAGAAGAUGGUCGACGUGUGGUU